GAUGAACGCUAGCUACAGGCUUAACACAUGCAAGUCGAGGGGAAACGGCAUCGAAAGCUUGCUUUUGAUGGGCGUCGACCGGCGCACGGGUGAGUAACGCGUAUCCAACCUGCCCAUCACUUGAGAAUAACCUUGCGAAAGUAAGACUAAUGCCCAAUGACAUCCCACGAAGGCAUCCGAAUGGGAUUAAAGAUUUAUCGGUGAUGGAUGGGGAUGCGUCUGAUUAGCUUGUUGGCGGGGUGACGGCCCACCAAGGCAACGAUCAGUAGGGGUUCUGAGAGGAAGGUCCCCCACAUUGGAACUGAGACACGGUCCAAACUCCUACGGGAGGCAGCAGUGAGGAAUAUUGGUCAAUGGGCGAGAGCCUGAACCAGCCAAGUAGCGUGCAGGAUGACGGCCCUAUGGGUUGUAAACUGCUUUUAUAAGGGAAUAAAGUGGGUCACGUGUGACUUUUUGCAUGUACCUUAUGAAUAAGGACCGGCUAAUUCCGUG
rnacentral:rRNA from 1 species